GCGGGAAUGCCAGAGCGGUCAAAUGGGCGGGAUUUAGGCUCCCGUAGCUUAGUGCUUACAGAGGUUCGAAUCCUCUUUCCCGCA
rnacentral:tRNA from 1 species